GACGUAGGGUGCGAGCGUUGUCCGGAUUUAUUGGGCGUAAAGAGCUCGUAGGCGGCUCGUCGCGUCGACCGUGAAAACCCGCAGCUUAACUGCGGGCUUGCGGUUGAUACGGGCGGGCUAGAGUUCGGUAGGGGAGACUGGAAUUCCUGGUGUAGCGGUGAAAUGCGCAGAUAUCAGGAGGAACACCGGUGGCGAAGGCGGGUCCCUGGACAACACCUGACACUGAGGCACGAAAGCUAGGGGAGCAAACAGG
rnacentral:rRNA from 1 species